GGGGAGACGAGAGGGUUGCUGUUUGAGAGGAGGAGGAGGCGAAGGGCUGAGGGGGGAGACUGGAGAGCUGCUAUUUGAGAGAGAAGAAGGAAGAGGAGGAAGAAGAGGAGGGGAAGAAGGAGGGAGGGGGAGGAGGAGAAGAAAAACUGAUUUGGAGAAAGAAGAGGAAAAAUAAAGGGAUUAUGAAGAGAAGAGGGAUGCGAAGAAGGUGGAGAAGAAAAAGGAGGAGGAGGAGAAAAGUAGAAGGAUGAGAAGAAGAAGGAGGAGGAGGAGGAGAAAAAGAAGGAUCAGAAAGAGGAGAAGAAGGAGCAGUAUGAUUUUUAGGAGAGGAAGAAGGCAGCGGAUGAGUGUCAGGGCCCCC